AUGAAUGAGACAUGCAUGACCUUCUAUGACUCUGUGGUGGCCUCAGCCAUCUUUUACGGUGUGGUCUGCAGCAGCAUCUCUGCUGGCGACAGGAAGAGACUGAACAGGCUGAUCAGAAGGGCCAGCUCUAUUCUAGGAUGCCCUCUGGACCCAGUGGAGGUGGUGAGUGACAGGAGAAUGGUGGCUAAGCUGUCAUCCCUGAUGGACAACAUCUCCCACCCCAUGCAGGAGACUCUGACAGCACUGAGCAGCAGUGGCGUGUCCAGCGGGGUGGCCUGGGGGUCCACAGGCCACACCCCUCCCCCCCAGACUUCUGGUUAUUCUUCUUCAGGCAAACAGGCAGACGGGGAUCCAGGCGGAAAGCAUAGAGAGUGACGCUCAAGUAGGCUUUUUAAAAUAUUUGAUUCCUCAUCAUCAGCGGCUUCUUUGUUUUUAGUCUCAGGGCAUGACCAUCACAUGCGUUUGGUCAGGUGUUCAGUUAGUCUGUAAAGAUGGGUUGACGCCCUCUUCUGGACAACAUGAGCAAAACUUCCCUUAAAAUGUUGUUCAGAACAGGGCUUCACGUUGUCAUGUUUUUGCUUAGAGAAAGGUCCUGUGGUGUCUUCUGGUGUUUUUACUGCCAAAUCUGAUCAUAGAUAGCUUAGUGAAAUGUAUCUAGAUGUGAUUUCUGUUGCAAAUCUAUUUUGUCACGUCGAAAUUACUUCAACGUGAAGCUCAGAGAGAUUUGGAUCUGACAGCAACAUGCUGGGUCUAGUACAAAGACUCUGGACCUCAGGAUCUGAGGUAUUCAGGUUCGGUAGUCCACAAAAAUGUACAUUCUGGACCUCUAAGACUUCCAUAAUCCUAAUCAUUUGUUGUAGCUCAUCACAUUCCCUCGAUGGCUUCAUGUACUAUUAUCUAUUGAAAUCACCACUAAAUCCUUGACUUGGUGGAAAUGUUUCUCAUCUCUACAAUAGAGUUCAUAUGAUAUGAAAGCAGGAUAAUCUCCUGUAGUGUUUACAGUAAAAAUGUGUAGUUUUUUCAAGUUUUCUCCUGUACUCUGCCAUAGACACUAUAAAUUCAGCUGUUUCUCCCUGUGAUCAACAGAACACGCUUUAAAUGAUAACAUGGAUAACGCUUCAUUUUCUGGUUUUAGGCCCUGUUCAAGGCUGGAGAGCAGAAGUUUGGCACUGAUGAACAAUCUUUUGUUACCAUCCUGGGUAACCGGAGUUCAGAACACCUCAGGAAAGGUUUGUGAGUGUGGGGUAAAAACACAAGAGUUUGUAUGAGUGGGUGAAGACAGAGUGGUCCAGGGUGUGGACAGUGUUUUGCACUCUGAAACAAAUUACAUCUGCAGCCAUUGAUGUCAGUUUUGUGUUGGCUAAAGGAAGCAUGAAUAUAUGACAAGAUUGAACUGAGGCCAGCUUUGAUUUGAAGUUUACUCACCUCCACUUACUGCUACAGGUUCUUAUUUGGUCCUACACACUGUGGGUUGAGCUUUACUGAAACGGGAGAUAAGCCGUAUAGCUGCACUAAUGUCAGACUCAUUCCAAACUUUAUUUGCAUUCCAGUAUUCGGCGCUUACAUGAAGCUGUCUGGAUAUGAGAUGGAGGAGAGUAUCAAGAGAGAAACAUGUGGAAACCUGAAGGACCUCCUCCUUGCCGUUGGUAUGUGCUCUAGAUGACUCCCUGAAGUUAUUCUUUUGUUGGUUUGCCCCCCCCCCGUAUGCUGUUUUUUUUGUUUUUGUUUUUUACAUAUGUAUUGACCUCUCAUGACCACAAGAGGGAGUCAGAGGAGUUUUGUUAGAGAUGAGGUAAGCUGCUGAGCUCUGACCCUCUGUAGGCGUCUUCUUCAGCUGAUAGAUGGGGAAGUCACUCACUACUCAGUGUUCAUCUUCAACGUCACAGAAGAGCUGCAUGUUUUUAUUCCCGGGCUGUACUGAAACAGCUUUGCAUGAUUUACAAUUCUAAGUAAUUCAAAAUAAAAUAUUUAUUUUAAAUUGGGCCUUGGUGCAGCCCUUCUGUUCUUCCUCUGUCUGGGACAAGCUGGUUUGACUCCUCUUCCUUUAAGGCUGUCUUCCCUUUAAGCCAAGGGUGUCAAACUCAUUUUCCAUUGUACAUAUAUAUAUAUAUCACUUACAAAAAAGGCUAUUACAUAUAAGAGGCAAAUAUGUUCUUUAUCUACUCAAUUUAUCUUAAAAUUGAAAUUACUUACAGAUUCAGAUUUUACAUAUAAAAAAACACAGAACACUUAAACUCUUACCUGCAAUGGAGCGUUUUAUGUUAUUGCAUCAUUACUAAAGAAAAAGGUCAGAUUAAACCUCUACUGCAUGUAUAUCAUAUAUAUCAUCUACUGGUGAUGAGGCGUAAUGAAAAGCUUUACUGCAUUCAUUGUACCAAACGAUCUGGAUGGAUGUUCACUGUAAACUUUACUAUUGACCUUCAACUAAGUCAAUAGCUGCGUACUAAUGAUAAAAGUGAGAGGAAUGUGCUUUUCACGCCUCAGUGCAUGUGUGUGAUAAAGGAGGGAAUAUCUCAGGUCUUGUUAUGAUACUCUCAUUGUUUUCAUGGAAGAGGUUGGCGUUUGUUGCCACAGAAACCGGGAGCCAAUAAUGAGGUCCAAACAGCUGGGUGUGGGGUCAGACCACCUCGAGUCACUGGAAGAACAAUAUCUUUGACUCCUCCUACCCGGUUGCCUUGUGUGUCUUUGGGUGUGGGAGACUAUGAGCGGGCAUGUGAACAGUCACCUUUUCAGAUUUUGUCUUGGGUAUUUGGCUGAGCGUUGAGCUGUGCUUUGAUAUUUUUCCCUUCUGACAUGCAGUCCCUCCCCCUGCUCCACACACUGACCAAGGCUCUGUGAACUACAAAAGAAUCUGAUGGGAAGUUUGUUUAAGAAAGAGGAUUAGACGCUGGUUAAUGUGUCCAGAGAAAGAAGCAAAUCAAUGAAAGAUAAAUGGCUUUGUGACAAACGUUGUGCAGCCUAAUUGUGUCUGUGACUGUCUACGCUUCAAGAGGAAAAAGAUGGCUCAUUUAUAAUGUAAAAUGCUAACAAUGUCAUACGGUACUGCCUGGUGUAGUUACACUAAUGAAAAGCCCAUCAACUGGGAUAAAGCUGGAAUAGGCAGCAAAGGUAAUUGGAGAAAUAUAAGAAAUAAAUUAAAUUGUUUCCUCCCUUGAGAUGCUUUACUGAAACCUCCCUCAGUUGCUGUUUAUUUGUGCAUUAGUAUUCA
ensembl:lncRNA